AGGCGUACUGUGAUGAAGUUUUGGAACUUCUCUCCGAACUGGGCAACUGUACUAGAGUGAUCAUCAGACUAUCUUCAGUUCCAGUUAUAAAAGAGAACCCAGGAAGUCGACUCGAAGAUUAUAUGAGAGGACAGAUGAAGAGUACUGAUAUUAUUUAUUACCUGUAUGAAAAA